UGGACUCCUGGACAGACAGACAUA
rnacentral:piRNA from 1 species